UACGUAGGAUGCAAGCGUUGUCCGGAAUUAUUGGGCGUAAAGAGCGCGCAGGCGGUCUAUCAAGUCAGAUGUGAAAUAUCCGGGCUUAACCCGGAGGGGUCAUUUAAAACUGGUAGACUAGAGUACAGCAGAGGAUAGUGGAAUUCCCGGUGUAGUGGUGAAAUGCGUAGAUAUCGGGAGGAACACCAGUGGCGAAGGCGACUAUCUGGGCUGAAACUGACGCUGAGGCGCGAAGGCUAGGGGAGCAAACAGG
rnacentral:rRNA from 1 species